rnacentral:rRNA from 1 species
AUACGUAGGGGGCAAGCGUUAUCCGGAUUCAUUGGGCGUAAAGGGUGCGUAGGCGGCCCUAUAGGUCAGAGGUCAAAGGCUACGGCUCCACCGUAGUAAGCCUUUGAAACUGUAGGGCUUGAGUGCAGGAGAGGAGAGUGGAAUUCCUAGUGUAGCGGUGAAAUGCGUAGAUAUUAGGAGGAACACCAGUGGCGAAGGCGACUCUCUGGACUGCAACUGACGCUGAGGCACGAAAGCGUGGGGAGUGAACAGGAUUAGAUACCCUGGUAGUCCACGCCGUAAACGAUGAGUGCUAGGUGUCGGGGGUCGAACCUCGGUGCCGCAGUUAACGCAUUAAGCACUCCGCCUGGGGAGUACGUACGCAAGUAUGAAACUCAAAGGAAUUGACGGGG